GGGCCCGCACAAGCGGUGGAGCAUGUGGUUUAAUUCGAUGAUACGCGAGGAACCUUACCAGGGCUUAAAUGUAAGUUGCAUAAAUCAGAGAUGAUUUUUUCUUCGGACUACUUACAAGGUGCUGCAUGGUUGUCGUCAGCUCGUGCCGUGAGGUGUCAGGUUAAGUCCUAUAACGAGCGCAACCCCUGUCGUUAGUUGCCAUCAAGUAAUGUUGGGUACUCUAGCGAGACUGCCGGUGCAAACCGAGAGGAAGGUGGGGAUGACGUCAAAUCAUCACGGCCCUUACGUCCUGGGCUACACACGUGCUACAAUGGCCGGUACAGAGAGCAGCCACUACGCGAGUAGGAGCGAAUCUUCAAAACCGGUCUCAGUUCGGAUCGCAGUCUGCAACUCGACUGCGUGAAGCUGGAAUCGCUAGUAAUCGGAUAUC
rnacentral:rRNA from 1 species